CUUUGAUCUAAUUAGUUAUAUAUAGAUUAAAGCUGUGAACAUGUAGCUUUCAGAAUACUUGAGGGGCUAAUAAAUACCCCACUUCCUCCUCUCCUGUUCCAUUCUGAAUAUUUCUGCUCCUGCUGAUGUUAAGUCAGAAUCUUCCCCCGAAGUGCCUUUUCAGGUGGACUGACAAUAAACGCUGAAUCAAGAAGACUUCAGGGGAGAAUAAAGACAGGAGCUACUGCUCAACAGGUUGUCAAGCUACAGUCAGAAUUCGAGCUGUACUGGUAUCACUGCAGGAGGAUUUGGUUGAUGCAAAGGCUACUGAGGAACGUGAGCUGUCAGGAGCAACUGUCAGGGUCCUAGUCUGCAUGUCCAACUCAACGUUACUCUAGCUGUGAGAUAAACACAGGAUGGGUGCCUCUUUACGCAAAUGCAUUCGAUGUAAAGAAACUCCUCUGUAGCUCUAGCGUACACUGUGUGUAUCUUGAUGGCACUUGAAGGUUGCAUUGACUACCUGCAAGACAAACUCAGCUGUUCAGGGCAAAUUCAGUUUGCUGUUAUAUAACUGUACUGUCAUAUGAGAGAUGGAAUUCUGGUUAAUGUAGCAGAGGAUUACGAUGGCCCAGAUUCAGUUCCCAGUACUAGCUUACUGCCCUGAGCAGUGUCCCUUUUUGCCUUUGACGCUAUGAACUGUUCAAGAAGUAUGUAAUCUUCCCAACUCUGAGAUCACAAAAUUGAUAACUUGUAAGAAAGAUCAUGGAAUGCUUGUGCAUGCUGUUAGUUCUGUAUCUCACUAAAUAGAUUUGCUUAGUAUUAAAAGGAAUCAUUGGAUAUGUAACUCUUCAUUGUCUAAUUCCCAUUGUAUCUGAAUAAUUAUGAAGUGAAAGUAUUUUCUAUGAUUAUUCUACUAGUGAAUUCGGCUUCUUUAAUUGUAAUGCCAGUUAUCUAGGGAGUAAUUAACUGCAUUGUGAGUAUAUAGACUGAGUCAGGAAAAUAAUCAGAUUUACUUGUUCCU
rnacentral:lncRNA from 1 species